AGCAUGAUUGCGAAGUGAUAGGAUGAGUAUGUUUGAUUUUGUAAGAAACUGUCAAAAUACUUUCCAAAGUGGUUAUCUCAUUUCGCAUUUCCAUCAGCAAU
rnacentral:pre_miRNA from 1 species